rnacentral:rRNA from 1 species
AACGAACGCUGGCAGCGUGGAUUAGGCAUGCAAGUCGAACGAGAUCCGGGCGUAUAGCAAUAUAGGCCCGGUGAAAGUGGCGAAAGGGUGAGUAACACGUGGGUAAUUUGCCCUCAAGUUGGGGAUAACCCGCCGAAAGGCGAGCUAAUACCGAAUGUGGUCCUCCUACGCAUGUGGGAAAGACUGAAGGUGGGGAUUCUUCGGAACCUGUCGCUUGAGGAGAAGCCUGCGUCCUAUCAGCUUGUUGGUGAGGUAACGGCCCACCAAGGCUAUGACGGGUAGCUGGUCUAAGAGGAUGGUCAGCCACACUGGGACUGAGACACUGCCCAGACUCCUACGGGUGCUG